UUUCCGAAUAUUGCGCAAACGAAUGAGACCCGCAGCCGAAGCCCGCUCCCCAUUGUCAUGGCGGAGACGCCCUCCCUCCCUCUCCCUCUCCUCUCCCCAAUCCCAAUUGUAACCCUAACCCUAACCGUAACCGUAACUUUACCAUAAUCCCUAAUUUCUUAUUUCUGCGGUCUGGGAUCGGCAUUAGUUACAGCGGGGACUCAAAUUCGGAGGAGGAGGAGGAGGAAGAGAUGGGAGGAAUCCCCAUUCUCUGCUUUCACAUCUUUCCAAUGUUAAAACGCUUAGCCCAAAACUCAGUUCUAAUCUCAACAACUCCCAUCCCAACGUCGGAGAUCAGCAGUCAUCACAACGGGAAGCCCUAAUCCCUUCUCCCAUUCCGUCCCAUCUCAAAACCGUAACCCUAAUACUUUGGCCCAUCUUAAAUCCCUAUUUAGAAGUUCAGCUUACAGUGAACAAUGCCAAGGAGCAAAGAUGUGUUGUGGGAGCAUAUAGUGCAGGAUGGGCGGAAGGUUCAAUGCAAAUUUUGUCAAGAUGAAUUUGUGGGUGGUGUAACUUGUAUGUGGUAUCAUUUUGCAAAUACUAGAUUGAAAGAUAUCCGACCACGCAAAGCAGUCCCAGCUUCAGUUCGUGAUGUGGCAUUGAAAGCGGUACGUGAAUUGGAGGCAAAAAGUAGAAGGCAUAAGGUCAUGAGCUUUCCCAGAUCGAGUGAUAGUUCUUUGGAGUCCGUUUUACAGCCUGGAGCUGUCAGCUACGAUGGUCUGUCUGGAUUUAUCCAUCUUGGUGGGCAUCGGGUAUAUGACACUGCCGCAAGACCCAUUCUUUCAUUGGGAAGGAAGACGGGAAGGAGAGAUGCAGACAAAGCAAUAAUUAAAUGCAUAAUUUGAAAUAACCUACCAUUUCGCUUGUUAAGGUCGCCUGGGUUUCGUGACGCUUGCACUGCAAUUGCAAAUGCUGGACCAGGGUAUGAGCUUCCAAGUAGUGAAAUGGCCCGGACAAAAUUGGUUACCGGAAUUGGAGGAUGAAGCUGAUGUCUAUGUUCAGUCUAUGAAGAGGACAUGGGAAAAAUCUGGUUGCACUUUGAUGCAUUCUUGGACAGAAGGAGGGGCUAUGCUGUACUUGAAUUUGUUAGCAGCUUGUCCUGAAGGUAUUGUAUGUCUGAAGUCUUUGGAUAUAAUUGGGCCUACAACUGAUGAACAAUAUAUAUAUAUAUUUUAACUUCUUAUCUUCA